rnacentral:rRNA from 1 species
GGUUAAGCGAACAAGCGUACACGGUGGAUGCCCUGGCAGUCAGAGGCGAUGAAGGACGUGCUAAUCUGCGAAAAGCGCCGGUAAGGUGAUAUGAACCGUUAUAACCGGCGAUGUCCGAAUGGGGAAACCCGGUGCACUUCGGUGCAUCAUCGUUAGCUGAAUACAUAGGCUAACGAGGCGAACCGGGGGAACUGAAACAUCUAAGUACCCCGAGGAAAAGAAAUCAACCGAGAUUCCCCCAGUAGCGGCGAGCGAACGGGGAACAGCCCAGAGCCUGAAUCAGCUUGUGUGUCAGUGGAACGGUCUGGAAAGGCCGGCGAUACAGGGUGACAGCCCCGUACACGAAGGCACACAGGCUGUGAGCUCGAUGAGUAGGGCGGGACACGUGAUAUCCUGUCUGAAGAUGGGGGGACCAUCCUCCAAGGCUAAAUACUCCUGACUGACCGAUAGUGAACCAGUACCGUGAGGGAAAGGCGAAAAGAACCCCGGCGAGGGGAGUGAAACAGAACCUGAAACCGUGUACGUACAAGCAGUGGGAGCCUUCGUAAGAGGGUGACUGCGUACCUUUUGUAUAAUGGGUCAGCGACUUAUAUUCUGUAGCAAGGUUAACCGUAUAGGGGAGCCGAAGGGAAACCGAGUCUUAACCGGGCGUUAAGUUGCAGGGUAUAGACCCGAAACCCGGUGAUCUAGCCAUGGGCAGGUUGAAGGUUGGGUAACACUAACUGGAGGACCGAACCGACUAAUGUUGAAAAAUUAGCGGAUGACCUGUGGCUGGGGGUGAAAGGCCAAUCAAACCGGGAGAUAGCUGGUUCUCCCCGAAAGCUAUUUAGGUAGCGCCUCGUGAACUCAUCUCCGGGGGUAGAGCACUGUUUCGGCUAGGGGGCCAUCCCGGCUUACCAACCCGAUGCAAACUGCGAAUACCGGAGAAUGUUAUCACGGGAGACACACGGCGGGUGCUAACGUCCGUCGUGAAGAGGGAAACAACCCAGACCGCCAGCUAAGGUCCCAAAGUCAUGGUUAAGUGGGAAACGAUGUGGGAAGGCCCAGACAGCCAGGAUGUUGGCUUAGAAGCAGCCAUCAUUUAAAGAAAGCGUAAUAGCUCACUGGUCGAGUCGGCCUGCGCGGAAGAUGUAACGGGGCUAAACCAUGCACCGAAGCUGCGGCAGCGACACUAUGUGUUGUUGGGUAGGGGAGCGUUCUGUAAGCCUGCGAAGGUGUGCUGUGAGGCAUGCUGGAGGUAUCAGAAGUGCGAAUGCUGACAUAAGUAACGAUAAAGCGGGUGAAAAGCCCGCUCGCCGGAAGACCAAGGGUUCCUGUCCAACGUUAAUCGGGGCAGGGUGAGUCGACCCCUAAGGCGAGGCCGAAAGGCGUAGUCGAUGGGAAACAGGUUAAUAUUCCUGUACUUGGUGUUACUGCGAAGGGGGGACGGAGAAGGCUAUGUCGGCCGGGCGACGGUUGUCCCGGUUUAAGCGUGUAGGCUGACUUUCCAGGCAAAUCCGGAAGGUUAAGGCUGAGGCGUGAUGACGAGGCACCACGGUGCUGAAGUGACAAAUGCCCUGCUUCCAGGAAAAGCCUCUAAGCAUCAGGUAACAUCAAAUCGUACCCCAAACCGACACAGGUGGUCAGGUAGAGAAUACCAAGGCGCUUGAGAGAACUCGGGUGAAGGAACUAGGCAAAAUGGUGCCGUAACUUCGGGAGAAGGCACGCUGACAUGUAGGUGAAGCCCCUGCGGGUGGAGCUGAAGUCAGUCGAAGAUACCAGCUGGCUGCAACUGUUUAUUAAAAACACAGCACUGUGCAAACACGAAAGUGGACGUAUACGGUGUGACGCCUGCCCGGUGCCGGAAGGUUAAUUGAUGGGGUUAUCGCAAGAGAAGCUCCUGAUCGAAGCCCCGGUAAACGGCGGCCGUAACUAUAACGGUCCUAAGGUAGCGAAAUUCCUUGUCGGGUAAGUUCCGACCUGCACGAAUGGCGUAAUGAUGGCCAGGCUGUCUCCACCCGAGACUCAGUGAAAUUGAACUCGCUGUGAAGAUGCAGUGUACCCGCGGCAAGACGGAAAGACCCCGUGAACCUUUACUACAGCUUGACACUGAACAUUGAGCCUUGAUGUGUAGGAUAGGUGGGAGGCUUUGAAGCGUGGACGCCAGUCUGCGUGGAGCCGACCUUGAAAUACCACCCUUUAAUGUUUGAUGUUCUAACCUGGCGCCGUGAUCCGGCGUGGGGACAGUGUCUGGUGGGUAGUUUGACUGGGGCGGUCUCCUCCCAAAGUGUAACGGAGGAGCACGAAGGUCAGCUAAUCCUGGUCGGACAUCAGGAGGUUAGUGCAAUGGCAUAAGCUGGCUUGACUGCGAGAGUGACGGCUCGAGCAGGUGCGAAAGCAGGUCAUAGUGAUCCGGUGGUUCUGUAUGGAAGGGCCAUCGCUCAACGGAUAAAAGGUACUCCGGGGAUAACAGGCUGAUACCGCCCAAGAGUUCAUAUCGACGGCGGUGUUUGGCACCUCGAUGUCGGCUCAUCACAUCCUGGGGCUGAAGUAGGUCCCAAGGGUAUGGCUGUUCGCCAUUUAAAGUGGUACGCGAGCUGGGUUUAGAACGUCGUGAGACAGUUCGGUCCCUAUCUGCCGUGGGCGCUGGAGAAUUGAGGGGGGCUGCUCCCAGUACGAGAGGACCGGAGUGGACGCAUCACUGGUGUUCGGGUUGUCAUGCCAAUGGCACUGCCCGGUAGCUAAAUGCGGAAGAGAUAAGUGCUGAAAGCAUCUAAGCACGAAACUUGCCCCGAGAUGAGUUCUCCCUGAGACUGUAAGUCUCCUGAAGGAACGUUGAAGACGACGACGUUGAUAGGCCGGGUGUGUAAGCGCAGCGAUGCGUUGAGCUAACCGGUACUAAUGAACCGUGAGGCUUAACCUU